UCAAAAAAAGUAUAAUUUCUCAGCAUUUCUAUUUUACAGGGCCACAUAAGACAGCUGCCUCUCCAACAAAGCUAAGAGGUCUCCAUCUGCAGACUCCAGCCCUCUUCCAACUUUUUCUCACUUCUAAAAAAUAUCAUGUGUUUCCCAUGACGUGUAAGUCAUCAAUAGGUACUUGCCUUAAACUGCAUAUUGCAGCACCCUGUAAGUGCUGGAGACAGAGCCCUCUUUAUCGGUGGUGUAGCACAGAGCAAACAUCUGAGCAGAAGUGGUAGGUGUCGUAUGAAAUGAAGUAUGAAAGACCAACAAGUCUCAAGCAACAAGCCAAGUAUUCAUCAUCCACCUCCCCUCAUUGAGGAUUCCCUGUUCAAAUUCCUACAAUCAUACAGAUAGCUUUCUAGGCAACUAUCUAACUAAUAUCAUCAAAUACUUUUGGGAAUCAGAUACAUUUGAUUUUCUUAUGGGAAUGGAAUCCUUCGCAGAAAUGAUAUCUAGAUAGUAAUUUUUACAAGAAUUUUUACAUUCCUGCUUGUUGAUGCUGACCUCAUUUUUCUAGAUAUUCAGUCAUAAUUAACAGUUUAGUUCAUUUUUCCAAAGUGUUAGUAGUUAUUUGCAAAAUACUGGAGUUUGGUAAAUUGUGGUUGAAUGAUUUCAGAAGAAAGGAAAAAGAGAAAGCAUUACAGCAUGAGGAAGAUUUUGCUACAAAGAAAAAAUAACCUUGCUACAGAAACUUACCCAUUCUGACUCGAAAAGAAAAAUGUUGAAAAUGCAAAUAUUUUCUGCAAGGUGAAAGUCACCCAGAGCUCCUCAGAGCUCUUCUGAAGGGACAGAAAACAUUACAGGAUGAAGCCCGGUCUCCCACUGUGCAAUAGAAUAGCCUUGACUUACUGGUAAUGAGAGAAGAAUUAAGCUCAUUCUACCUAAGAGUGAAGCUAAGGUGCUGUAAAGUGGUGGUGAGAAAUCACAAAGUGGGUGGAUCGCAGUGCCGAGCCAUGCUGGAAUGGGAAAGCUGCAAUCCAGUCCAGAGCUAUGGGAUUCGCCACUUCAGAAAUUGACUGAACUUAUCCAACCGAAAUUCUGUGUUCAGUUUUGGGCCCCCCACUACAAGAAAGACAUUGAGCUGCUGGAGCAUGUCCAGAGAAGGGCAACAAAGCUGGUGAAGGAUCUGGAGCGGCUGAGGCAACUGGGGUUAUUUAGCCUGAAGAAAAGGAGGCAGAGGGGAGGACCUAUUGCUCUCCACAACUACCCAAAAGGAGGUGGAAGUGAGCUAUGAGUAACGAAGAAUUUUCAACCUGUCUCGUAUUCUGCCUUUGACAACUUAAGCUUCCUUGACCAUUAAGAUGGGGGUGAAGAUCUCAAAUGAGCUUUCUGAGACAGUGAGUUCACUGUUCUCAAGAUUGUUUUCAUGAAACUGUCCAUGGGAUGACAAGGUUAAAGAAAUAAUGGGAACCAACAAGGAGAAAAGAGCAAGGAUGUGAGCCUCCAGCUCCUGCCUUCUGGUCAUCUUCCUCUCCACUGGAUUUUUG